rnacentral:rRNA from 1 species
ACAGGUGCUGCAUGGCUGUCGUCAGCUCGUGUCGUGAGAUGUUGGGUUAAGUCCCGUAACGAGCCGCAACCCUUGUCCUUAGUUACCAGCACGUUAUGGUGGGCACUCUAAGGAGACUGCCGGUGACAAACCGGAGGAAGGUGGGGAUGACGUCAAGUCAUCAUGGCCUUACGGCCUGGGCUACACACGUGCUACAAUGGUCGGUACAAAGGGUUGCCAAGCCGCGAGGUGGAGCUAAUCCCAUAAAACCGAUCGUAGUCCGGAUCGCAGUCUGCAACUCGACUGCGUGAAGUCGGAAUCGCUAGUAAUCGUGAAUCAGAAUGUCACGGUGAAUACGUUCCCGGGCCUU